rnacentral:lncRNA from 11 species
GCACAGCUGCUUUGACUUAAGAGGUGAACUCACAACAUACAAAGACUUUGCACUGAACUUCUUUCAAGAGCCAAGAUAGCUUUUCUGGAAGUGUUCUUCCAAAGCCUAUCCAUACAGCUAAAACGAUCCAUGUCUGGGAAGAGGUAGUUUCUCGGACCCAGCCAGCAUGGCCAUUGUUGAUUCAAGGCAAUUGUUAUUAAAAAGUGCGCUAUCAGCAGGCUGCUGGGAUAGAGUCUGCUGGAACCUAUCAUAUGACGCAGGGCUACUUACAACAGGUCUCCAUUGGGCUCCAUCCAGGGAGUGUGCCAUCUCCAGCCUUCUCUAUCUCCAUGUGAUGAGGCCCUUAUGGUAAUCCUAAAAGAGCCCUAACACAGGGUUUUCUUGGGCUGAGAGUGUGUGAUUCACCCAGUCAGUUUCGGGAAUGUGGCUGUGCCGGGAAUCGUUCAGUGCUCAAAUCACUAUACUACACCGGCUCUUCAGGAAGAACUAGAUGCAGUAAUAAUCUGACAUGAAGCGGCUUUCUCUGUGCCUAACCCUCAGGAAAGACAUGUUUCUAAAACAAAGAGAUUAAAUUUUCUUUAAUGCCUUAUCAUUUUUUUGUGACAUGCCAGGAUUGCAGGACAGUGAUGAAAAUAUCUGAGGGAAAUGUUCUGUUCCCUUAGGACAAUCCUUGUGUGGCAUAUAGCUCCUGUUUCUGGCUUUUAAAAUGGGAAUAUGGCUGGGGGACAUUUUUUACAAAAACAAAGAAACCCUCAGCUUCUGGGAUUGCUAAAUGAGGAUCCUACUAAAUAAUGAGAGCCAAACAGAUGGAAAAAAUUGGAAAUCCAGCAUUGAAAUCCAGAUGUUUUAUGUGCAUGUCUCCUCUCUGAUAAGAAAAUAUAAAUAAAAAAGCUUUGACAAA